ACUUAAAUAGUUUAAUAAGAAUAACAACUUGUGGAGUUGUGGGUGUAAAUUGUUACUUUAGGUC
rnacentral:tRNA from 1 species